UGGGGGAUAUUGCACAAUGGGGGAAACCCUGAUGCAGCAACGCCGCGUGAAGGAAGAAGGUCUUCGGAUUGUAAACUUUUGUCUUUGGGGAAGAAAAAAAUGACGGUACCCAAGGAGGAAGCCACGGCUAACUACGUGCCAGCAGCCGCGGUAAUACGUAGGUGGCAAGCGUUGUCCGGAUUUACUGGGUGUAAAGGGCGUGUAGACGGGAUGGAAAGUCAGAUGUGAAAUUUAUGGGCUCAACCCAUAACCUGCAUUUGAAACUUCUGUUCUUGAGUGAUGGAGAGGUAGGCGGAAUUCCUAGUGUAGCGGUGAAAUGCGUAGAUAUUAGGAGGAACACCGGUGGCGAAGGCGGCCUACUGGACAUUAACUGACGUUGAGGCGCGAAAGUGUGGGGAGCAAACA
rnacentral:rRNA from 1 species